UACCAUCAAUUACUGUCAAUUGUCGAAAGGUAUAGUAGCAGCACCUACCCCACCCGUGUCCCCUCGAGAUCGUCAAGUCGACGAUGACAGGAGCACAUAUCGUGGUAGGGGUAAACAAUAGUUGCAAUUUCCAAACCUGCGACUGGAUGCCUUCCUUCAAAUAACAACUGUAGUGCGGUAAAAAAUCGGUAGAACUGUUUCAAACACACAGUUGGUACACUGCCGCUCUUCGCAUAUCGGUCCCAUAGCAGUUUUUGUCAAAACUGAGUUUUACAAUGCAAAUGGUAGCUGAUCACCCAUAUUUCCUUAAUACUGGAUGAACUCAACAACUUUGUUCUGAAAAAGUUUGGAAAGACAGCCAAAUUGGUUGUCUCAUCACAUAAGAAGCAAUGGUACGAAUCAAGCUUAAAAUGCGAUUUUCUCGGCUUGCUGAUUUUUGCCAUGGGACCGACAUGCGAAGAACGGCACGAAAUCACAACAUCAAAUUUAGAUUUAAAUUUGAUCUCAGACUUUGCUCGGGUAAUGUAACAAGACCAAUCAGGUAUCAGUAUUUAAAUCUAUCCCAUACCACAAUGCAAGCAUACAGCUGAAUGAAAAUAAAUUAAUGCGGCUGAUACUGAAUAUAAAUAAUAGGUUCUUAAUAGGGCUGUACGCAAACUUCGUAGACAGUUUGAAAAUGAUAGAAAUGGUCGAAUAAUACAACCAUUUAGUAUAUUCUUUUAAAUAUGUAUGGAUUAUUGAUACGCGAGGGGAGGGAUGUAAAAUCAUCAAUCAAAACGUGGUUUAUGGACAGCCCAAAGAACAUGGUCAAUGAUUACACACACUAUUCAACUGUCAUCAUGAUCAUCAUUCAUCUUUAUCCCUACUUGCCGAUGAUCAUCAUCAUUGUUACAUGUCGUUCAACAAUUUUUGAAUUUCUACACAUUUUAAACACUUCAUCAAAUAUUUACUUAUUACUUACCACAUAUUUUCAAUGGCGCCUCCAAUUCCAAAAGAAUUGGUUGUGACAAGAAAAUUUCCCGGGAUUUCAAACAUAAGCCACGAAUUUCAUUUUCCGAUAA